rnacentral:lncRNA from 1 species
GCUAUUUAAAGUGGCACUAUUCAUCAGAUAGAACAACUUUUGCAAAGAAUAUCAAAGAGUACACAAGAAAACAAAAGUGCCCUAAUCUUCUUCAUCCAAGUGCUUCAUUCAAGAAUCAAAGAAAGGGGUUGAGCAGAUUCAAAGAGUCAUCAAGAGCUCCAUCCUCCCUUGAAGAGUGAAGCAUCCUUGACAAAGAAGAGAGAAGCCACUUCAAAGCGAUAAAUAUUUUCUAACUCUUCUUUGUAGUUUAUAUUGUUUCAUUUGCUCAUUUAGGAGUUUGAAUCUUUCUUUUUGUUUGUCAAACUAUUUGUAAAGGUUGGUUGGUUAGCCCGCAAAACCAACGGGAUAGGUUGAUUGGUGAACCCGGAAAACCAAUUGUAAAGGUUCGUUGGUGAGCCCGUAAAACCAACAAAGGUUCUUUGGUGAGCCCGUAAAACCAACAUAGGUUUUUGGUGAACCCGGAAAACCAAAGUGUAAAGGUUUUUGGAUUGUGAGCCCGGAAAACAAUCCAACUGUAAUCCGUGGGAUUAUAGUG